rnacentral:rRNA from 1 species
AAUGAACGCUGGCGGCAUGCCUAACACAUGCAAGUCGAGCGGACGAAGGGAGCUUGUUCCUGGCUUCAGCGGCGGACGGGCGAGUAAUUCAUAGGAAUCUGCCUGGUAGUGGGGGAUAACGUCCGGAAACGGGCGCUAAUACCGCACACGUUCUGAUGUUGAAAGUGGGGGUUCUUUGGACCUCACGCUUUCUGAUGAGCCUAGGUCGGAUUAGCUAGCUGGUUGGGUAAAGGCCUACCAAGGCGACGAUCCGUAACUGGGCUGAGAGGGUGAUCAGUCACAAUGGAAAUUGGAAACGGUCCAGACUCCCAAGGGGAGGAGCAGGAGGGAAUCUUCGGACAUGGGGGAAAGGCUUAAGCAACCAAGGCGGGGGAGGUAAAGAGGGCCUUCGGAUUGUAAAGCACGUUAUGUUGGAAGAAAAGGCGGUUAGUUAACACCGUGCUGUUUUGCCGUAACCAACAAAAUAGCACCGGCUAACUUCGUG